rnacentral:rRNA from 1 species
CGGGGGGCAGCAGUGGGGAAUUUUGGACAAUGGGGGCAACCCUGAUCCAGCAAUGCCGCGUGAGUGAAGAAGGCCUUCGGGUUGUAAAGCUCUUUUGUCAGGGAAGAAACAGCAGCUCUAACACAGUCUGCGAAUGACGGUACCUGAAGAAUAAGCACCGGCUAACUACGUGCCAGCAGCCGCGGUAAUACGUAGGGUGCGAGCGUUAAUCGGAAUUACUGGGCGUAAAGCGUGCGCAGGCGGUUAUACAAGACAGGCGUGAAAUCCCCGGGCUUAACCUGGGAAUGGCGCCUGUGACUGUAUAGCUAGAGUGUGUCAGAGGGGGGUAGAAUUCCACGUGUAGCAGUGAAAUGCGUAGAUAUGUGGAGGAAUACCAAUGGCGAAGGCAGCCCCCUGGGAUAACACUGACGCUCAUGCACGAAAGCGUGGGGAGCAAACAGGAUUAGAUACCCGAGU